UAGGGAAUCUUCCACAAUGGACGCAAGUCUGAUGGAGCAACGCCGCGUGAGUGAAGAAGGGUUUCGGCUCGUAAACUCUGUUGUUAGAGAAGAACACGAGUGAGAGUAACUGUUCAUUCGAUGACGGUAUCUAACCAGCAAGUCACGGCUAACUACGUGCCUG
rnacentral:rRNA from 1 species